CCUACGGGAGGCAGCAGUGGGGAAUUUUGGACAAUGGGCGCAAGCCUGAUCCAGCAAUGCCGCGUGCAGGAUGAAGGCCUUCGGGUUGUAAACUGCUUUUGCACGGAACGAAACGGCUCCUAUUAAUACUGGGGGCUAAUGACGGUACCGUAAGAAUAAGCACCGGCUAACUACGUGCCAGCAGCCGCGGUAAUACGUAGGGUGCGAGCGUUAAUCGGAAUUACUGGGCGUAAAGCGUGCGCAGGCGGUUAUAUAAGACAGAUGUGAAAUCCCCGGGCUCAACCUGGGACCUGCAUUUGUGACUGUAUAGCUAGAGUACGGUAGAGGGGGAUGGAAUUCCGCGUGUAGCAGUGAAAUGCGUAGAUAUGCGGAGGAACACCGAUGGCGAAGGCAAUCCCCUGGACCUGUACUGACGCUCAUGCACGAAAGCGUGGGGAGCAAACAGGAUUAGAUACCCUGGUAGUCCACGCCCUAAACCGAUGUCAACUGGUUGUUGGGUCUUCACUGACUCAGUAACGAAGCUAACGCGUGAAGUUGACCGCCUGGGGAGUCGGCCGCAAGGUUGAACUCAAAGGAAUUGACGGCUGAGAGNGCGAGCGACGACGAGGGAGAGG
rnacentral:rRNA from 1 species